rnacentral:rRNA from 1 species
ACCGGCGCACGGGUGCGUAACGCGUAUGCAAUCUACCUUUUACAGAGGGAUAGCCCAGAGAAAUUUGGAUUAAUACCUCAUAGCAUAGCAGCUUCGCAUGAAGUCACUAUUAAAGUUCCAACGGUAAAAGAUGAGCAUGCGUCCUAUUAGCUAGAUGGUAAGGUAACGGCUUACCAUGGCUACGAUAGGUAGGGGUCCUGAGAGGGAGAUCCCCCACACUGGUACUGAGACACGGACCAGACUCCUACGGGAGGCAGCAGUGAGGAAUAUUGGACAAUGGGCGCAAGCCUGAUCCAGCCAUGCCGCGUGCAGGAAGACGCAUCUAUGGUGUGUAAACUGCUUUUGUACGGGAAGAAACACUCCCUCGUGAGGGAGCUUGACGGUACCGUAAGAAUAAGGAUCGGCUAACUCCGUGCCAGCAGCCGCGGUAAUACGGAGGAUCCAGGCGUUAUCCGGAAUCAUUGGGUUUAAAGGGUCCGUAGGCGGUUUGGUAAGUCAGUGGUGAAAGCCCAUCGCUUAACGAUGGAACGGCCAUUGAUACUGCCAGACUUGAAUUACUAGGAAGUAACUAGAAUAUGUAGUGUAGCGGUGAAAUGCUUAGAUAUUACAUGGAAUACCAAUUGCGAAGGCAGGUUACUACUAGUGGAUUGACGCUGAUGGACGAAAGCGUGGGGAGCGAACAGGAUUAGAUACCCUGGUAGUCCACGCCGUANACGAUGGAUACUAGC